rnacentral:lncRNA from 1 species
GCACAAGUAACUCAGGAGCAGCAGUCCUCGUGGGUGCCGUGCGAGAAGUUGAGGCGGGCAACAUUCAUUCCAGAUUUAAUCAUUUCCUUCAGCUUGUCCACAGAGCGGGAGGCUGGGCCGAUGGUGCAGAUGAUGCCGGUGUUUCUGGCAAUGGUUGGCUCGGAGUCGAUGUCCAGGCGGCACAUGUGCUCCAGAAAGGUGUCUGCCAUGGCAGCGUGCAGCUGCUGGGUCUGGAUGAAAGCGGUCCCUGCAUCGUGGUGCUUCGACAUGGUUACUGGAGUUCGGUGUCUCCUGCUGCUGCUUCCGCCGCCGUGCCCAAAGCCUGUCCUGCCCGAGCGCCGCCGCCGCUCUGCACGCCUCUCGGCCGCGCCGCCAAGGUGAUCCCUGCCGAAGCACCGCCCCUCGGAUCCCUCCGCCCACUGCGCAGCGGGGAGAACGGCCGGGACUCUUUUUUUCCGGCGGACGCGCAAGCUGCGGAGGAAGCGAUGUGACCCUCACGCGCCGCGCAGCCAAUCAGAGCGUGGCACAGCCUGAGCGCACGCGGG